rnacentral:rRNA from 1 species
CGGCCGCGUCGACCUUAGUGGCGGACGGGUGAGUAACGCGUGAGAAGUCUGCCUUCAGGACGGAGACAACAGUUGGAAACGACUGCUAAGCCCCGAUAAACCGAAAGGGAAAAUAUUUAUAGCCUGAAGAUGAGCUCGCGUCCGAUUAGCUAGUUGGCGGAGUAAAAGCCCACCAAGGCGACGAUCGGUAGCUGGUCUGAGAGGACGAUCAGCCACACUGGGACUGAGACACGGCCCAGACUCCUACGGGAGGCAGCAGUAGGGAAUCUUCGGCAAUGGACGGAAGUCUGACCGAGCAACGCCGCGUGAGUGAAGAAGGUUUUCGGAUCGUAAAGCUCUGUUGUAAGAGAAGAACGAGUGUGAGAGUGGAAAGUUCACACUGUGACGGUAUCUUACCAGAAAGGGACGGCUAACUACGUGCCAGCAGCCGCGGUAAUACGUAGGUCCCGACGCGUUGUCCGGAUUUAUUGGGCGUCGACGCGGCCG